rnacentral:lncRNA from 1 species
CAGGCCAUCACCACGAAGAACAGCCAUAGGACAUACAUCAGGUCUGUGGGGAAGGUUGACGGGGACGCUAGAGCAUCAGCCAGGCAAGGCUCUUCACCAGUUGGAUCAGGACACAGAAACUGCAGUCGACUACUCUUUUUGAGCUCAACUGAGGAAGACGGGCUGGAGAAAAUGAGGCUCUUUUUUUUUUUUUUUUUUUUUUGAGAUGAAGUUUCACUCUUGUCGCCCAGCUGGAGUGGCAGUGGUAUGACCUCGGCUCAGUCAACAUUCACCUCCUGGGUUCAAGCAAUUCUCCUGCCUCAACCUCCUGAGUAGCUGGGAUUACAGGUGCACGCCACCAAGCCUGACUAAUUUUUGUAGUUUUAGUAGAGAGGGGGUUUCACCAAGUUGGCCAGGCUGGUCUCAAACUCCCAACCUCAGGUGAUCCACCUGCUUCGGCCUCUGAAAGUGCUGGGAUUGCAGGCGUGAGACACCGUGCCCGGCCAAGUGUGGGGCUCCUAAUGAGAGCUGGCAUACAGGUGUGGCGGGGACAUGAGCUGCUCCCCUACACUCAUUCUCUCCUGUGGUGCACACUCACUGGGAUAUAGCCACCCAGCCAGGGAUCACGUGCCAGGCUCUCGCUAUUGGAAUGUGAGCUCUCAGACACAAUACAUGCAACUAGGGGCCUCCUUACUGAAGACAGGCCUGGAGUUCUCCCUUUCUAGUGGUGACCAGUGGGACAUGGGAAGGCACAUGGAUAAAGUGGCAGAGCACUGUCAUCUGGGUCCCUAAAUGAUUGCAUGGAGCAGAACCUUCUGCUGACCUGAUGCAUGCAACUAUUGAGAUGAUGAUGGUAUAUGAUACAGUUCCUUAAGCCACUCAGCUUUUGAGGUCCAUUUGAGGUCCAGCAGCCUAGCCUGCCUAGCUAAUACAUGGGUCUCCAAGGUGACCUCCUUAAGAGUUUUCAAGAAUAGGUUUUCUCAUUAUACCUCAUUUCUGCCUUCGUUUCUGAUAUUAAACCCUACCCCUACCCUAUCUCAUAAAAUGUGAGUCCACUGCGUGCUGCAGUGGGCAACUGGACUGAGGGUGGGGUUGGGGCUUCUUCUUGCUUAUCUUUUCUAACUUUCCACAGCUCUGUUAAGCAUAAACUGCAUAAAAUUGUGGAUAGAAAAAAAGACUGGAAGGAAGAAGGAAAGCCUACUGUCUCCUGUGGCUCAUCUAGGAGUCAUGGCCAAGGACUGUGAUUGGGGAUUCCAGGCAGAGCCCAGGGCCCGGGUAUUCGCCAUCCACCAGAGCUUCUCAGAUCCUUCGGGAAGAAACCUCCCACUGGCCCAGCCCUGGGGACAGUUCGAUCUCAGAGACCCAGGUCCCAAUGCCAUCACAGUGGUUUCUUUCUCUCUUUCUUUCUUUCUUUCUUUUUUUUUUUUUUGAGAUGAAGUAUUGCUCUUGUCACCCAGGCUGGAGUGCAGAGGUGUGAUCUCAGCUCACUGCAACCUCUACCUCCCAGGUUCAAGUGAUUCUCCUGUCUCAGCCUCCCAGGUAGCUGGGAUUACAGGCAUGUGCCACCACGCCCGGCUAAUUUUUGUAUUUUUAUUAGAGACAGGGUUUCACCAUAUUGGUCAGGCUAGUCUCGAACUCCUGACAUCAGGUGAUCCGCCCACCUCAGCCUUCCAAAGUGCUGGGAUUACAGGCAUGAGCCACCACGCCUGGCCGUCAUCAUAGUGGUUUCUAAACAUUGUUCUGCAGGCCAGCUGCACCACAUCCCCUGGGGAGUUUGGAAAAUGUGAACUCCCCAGGCCUACUGUCUGCAGCUCUGAUCCAGCGCAGCCAGGUAGGGCCAGGGAAUCUUUUUUUUUUUUCUUUUUUCACAAACUCCCCAGGGCAGAACCCACUGGAGAUCCUGGUGGUCCUCCCUGUCCCCACUGACCUUUCAGAAGUUCAGCAGCAGGAGCCCUGCAGGCAGCUCCCCUCAGCCUCUCCUUCACAAGGGGACCUCUGCCUAGAGAUCCCUCCCUCUCUGAGCACUGCUGGCCGUGGACACAGCUGGGCCCAGAGGUUGAGCCCACUGGAUUUAACAGGACUCCUGGGCCAGCCAGAAGCAGCCUGGGCAGGCGACCGAUCCCGACUUACUGC